GACGAACGCUGGCGGCGUGCUUAACACAUGCAAGUCGAACGGAAAGGCCCUGCUUUUGUGGGGUGCUCGAUUGGCGAACGGGUGAGUAACACGUGAGUAACCUGCCCUUGACUUUGUGAUAACUUCAGGAAACUGGGGCUAAUACCGGAUAGGAGCUCCUGCUGCAUGGUGGGGGUUGGAAAGUUUCGGCGGUUGGGGAUGGACUCGCGGCUUAUCAGCUUGUUGGUGUGGUAGUGGCUUACCAAGGCUUUGACGGGUAGCCGGCCUGAGAGGGUGACCGGCCACAUUGGGACUGAGAUACGGCCCAGACUGCUACGGGAGGCAGCAGUGGGGAAUAUUGCACAAUGGGCGGAAGCCUGAUGCAGCAACGCCGCGUGCGGGAUGACGGCUUUCGGGUUGUAAACAGAUUUCGAAUGUGCCGAAGAGUGAGUGACGGUAAUGGGUAAAGAAGCAACGGCUAACUACGUG
rnacentral:rRNA from 1 species